GACGAACGCUGGCGGCGUGCCUAAUACAUGCAAGUCGAACGAACAGUUUAGGCCCUUGCUUCCCUGACCUUAGCCGCUGACUUGCGAGUAACUCGUUGACAACCUACCUACCUGACUGGGAUCACUGCAUGAAACCGGGACUCAUUCCCUAAUAUCUCUUGAUCUUCAUUGUUCCAUAGUUAUUGAUGGUUUUGCUCUCUCUCAUAGCUACCUCCUGGCCGCAUUAGCUAGUUGGUAAGGUAACGGCUUACCAAGGCAACGAUGAGUAGCCGACCUGAGAGGGUAAUCGGCAAAACUGGAACUGAGAAACGGUCAAGACUCCUACGGGAGGCAGCAGAAGGGAAUCUUCCGCAAUGGGGGAAAGCCGAACGGAGAAAGGCGGCGGAAGGGAUGAAGGUCUUCGGAUGGUAAAAUUCGGUUAUAAGGAAGGAAGAAAGGGGUAAGUAAAAAUGCACGUCUUGACGGUACCUAAACAGAAAGCCACGGCUAACUACGUG
rnacentral:rRNA from 1 species